ACGCUCGACACCUACGGGGGGCAGCAGUGGGGAAUAUUGCACAAUGGGGGAAACCCUGAUGCAGCGACGCCGCGUGGAGGAAGAAGGUCUUCGGAUUGUAAACUCCUGUUGUUGGGGAAAAAGAGGAUGGUACCCAACAAGGAAGUGACGGCUAACUACGUGCCAGCAGCCGAGGUAAUCUGAGGCGGGCUGGCAAGGC
rnacentral:rRNA from 1 species